GGAGGAGUAUCGAAGUGGUUGUAACGGCCUUGACUCGAAAUCAAGUUGUCACGCAAGUGGCACGUGGGUUCGAAUCCCACCUCCUCCGCCA
rnacentral:tRNA from 1 species